rnacentral:rRNA from 1 species
GAUGAACGCUGGCGGCGUGCCUAAUACAUGCAAGUCGAGCGAACAGAUGAGGAGCUUGCUCCUCUGACGUUAGCGGCGGACGGGUGAGUAACACGUGGAUAACCUACCUAUAAGACUGGGAUAACUUCGGGAAACCGGAGCUAAUACCGGAUAAUAUAUUGAACCGCAUGGUUCAAUAGUGAAAGACGGUUUUGCUGUCACUUAUAGAUGGAUCCGCGCCGCAUUAGCUAGUUGGUAAGGUAACGGCUUAACAAGGCAACGAUGCGUAGCCGACCUGAGAGGGGGAUCGGCCACACUGGAACUGAGACACGGUCAAGACGCCUACGGGAGGCAGCAGUAGGGAAUGUUCCGCAAUGGGCGAAAGCCUGACGGAGCAACGCCGCGUGAGUGAUGAAGGUCUUCGGAUCGUAAAACUCUGUUAUUAGGGAAGAACAAAUGUGUAAGUAACUAUGCACGUCUUGACGGUACCUAAUCAGAAAGCCACGGCUAACUACGUG